GCCGCCGCUCCCUCCCUGAGGGGCGUCUGGGGCGCGCGGGGUGCGAGCGGAGAGCGCCGGAAUUAACAGUUCUGUGUCUUAUCGGAGCGUAAAUUACCCAUAAAUGUGGCGAAGAAGCGUGUGGGUUGGUGGGAAUCCUUCAGAUGAAGGGCAGGCGCUUCCGCAGCUGAGGCAUAGGCCUGGGGCAGGCCGAGCAUCGCCACCGAAGGAUGAAAAAAAGCUGGGAUAUUUUAAAAACAGUGACAUGGAAUGGCAGAGCUCUGCUCACCACUCACAAGGUGCCUGCAGCCACCAAGGGAGGUGAGGCAGGUGAGAGGCUGCUGCACUAAACACCUGUCUGAGCUAAAGUAAAACUGAAACUUGCAACAGAAUUUACUCUGGGGUAACUCAGAGCUUUCACUUUGGAAAUAUCAUUGUCUUGUCAGAUUUCAGGAAAGGAGAGGCAUUGUCAAAUUCCAUAUAAUGGAAUGAUUUCUAAUUUUAGAAUGAUUUCUAAUUCUGUAUUGAUCUUGAAUCACAGGUGAUGUACAUUGGCCAGGUGAAUGAAGGGAUUUAUGCAUCAUA